CGGGGGGUACCGGGUCACCCUCAGGAACGCCAGGCUCUGGCAGAGGAAGGGGUGGCGGCUGCAGCCAGUGGCUAGGGAGCGCAUUCUAGGCCUGGCCUAUCUCAGUCAGGAAGCUGGCGUCUGGCGGGGGACUGAGGCCCAGGGACCUUGGGGGACCCAGCUGAUUUGCUCCAGGCUCCUCACCAUGCCCGGAGCCUCGCCUGGUUGGGUAGGCAGGGUCCGGGGCCUCACAGGGCUUGGGGCAGGUGGGGAUGCUGUGAGGAGGGUCCAGAAGGGCAAGCGGGAGCUCCAGGGAUGAGGAAGCUGCAGUGAAGAGAGUGGGCUAACGGCAGGGCCUCCAUGGCCACAUCCAGGGCCUGCGGGAAUUCGCUGACUGCCCAAUGUCACCUGAGCCCCUAAGGCAUGCCGGCUGCUGGCCCAGGCCCUCAGGACACGGCAGGGAGCUAUGGCAGAGACUUUCUGCUUGGCCAAACUCCGGCUGGGAUCUGGAACUUUCUCCUAGGCCCAUCUGUGCACUUGCUUGGAAAAUCCAGUUUUAGUAAGAGCCCUACUGAGUCAGUUUAGCCAGAACCCCACACCCUGGAUAUCUCACCCUCGAUGACAUCCAACCAGGUCCCUCAUCCUCCACCAUCACCUGGUGACGUCUGAUCACCCUGCCUGCCUAGAGCAAGGACCCUGUGAGAUACAAAGACCUCUGCUUGCUGGGACUCUGCACCAUAAGGACACAUUGAGUAAGUCUUCUUUGGUGCUUUGAGUGGAGGGCAGUGGAGAGGGGAAUGUCAACAGGGUGCAUGGGCCCCAGGAGGCCAGCAAGGCAGGGAUGGCUUGGACCAGGGCAGUCAGACUCUAGGGCUGAAGGCUGCUGGGGCCACCUUGUAGAUGUGUCACCUACUACCAGGGAAAGUGGCCACUGUACAGGGCUGCUCAGCAGGGGGUAUGGGACAUCACUCCUCGAGAAAGCACGGUGGGGUGGAUAUGUCAUAGCAGUGUGUGGUUCCUGCCUAAAUUGUCCUCUGUGAGUUCAGCUGUGAAGAGAGGACGAGAGUUAUUGGAAGGACGUCCUGUGGUCUGGAAGGACGUCCUGUGGGAGGACAGGCUGGGCUCCAGGGGAGCUUGGAAUCCUGCACUGAAGAGGACUAUAGACACAUGAUGGGGGUGACCCUGGCCUGAAAAAAGCAGAAGUUACCAAGGAUGUGAUUUGAAGCUGUGAUUGUGUCUCAUCAUGUCACACUGAUUAGGGGUGCGGAGGGGUUGUGGGCUGGAUGGUGCCUGUCCUUAUCCGUGGAGACACUUGGGGAUGGAGCCUCCUGCCACCUGCAGCUGAAGUCCCAAUGGUCCAGCAAAUGAAAAAAAUGACACAACAGCCACACGUGGACGCUGGCGAACUGGUAGGAAAGAGGAAGCGGCCGGGUGCGGUAGCUCACGCCUGUAAUCCCAGCACUUUGGGAGGCCAAAGCCGGUGAAUCGCUUGAGCCUAGGAGUUUGAGACCAGCCUGGACAACAUGGGGAGACCAUUUCUACAAAAAAAAUACAAAAAUUAGCUGGUGUGGUGGCUAGCGCCUGUAGUUCCAGCUACUCAAGAGGCUGAGGAGGGAGGACUGCCUGAGCUCUGGAGCUUGAGGCCAGCCUGGGCAACAUAACCAAGACCCUGUCUUUACAAAAAAUAAAAAUAAAAAUAAAAAUAAAAAUAAAAUGCUGAUACAUGCUAGACCGUGGAUGGACUUUGAGAAUACUAUGCUGAGUGAAAUAAGCCGUCGCAAACGACAAAUCCCGUAGGAUUCUGCUCCUGUGAGGUCCCUAGAGGAGGCACGCUCAUGGAGCCAGAAGGUACAAUGGGAGCUCCAGGGCCUCGGGAGUGGGUGUUUAACAGGGAGUUUCAGGUUGGGAGGAUGAAGAGGUUCUCGAGAUGAGUGACGGUGCCCGACAUGGGUGGGUGAAAACGAGGAAGGCCACCGAAUGGGACAUGGGAUGGCGCUUAAGAGGCCGGCAGAAACCUCGUUACCUACCGAGGGUGGAGCCUGCGUGCUGACGGAUAGGCCGAGUCCCCGCCCCGAAACACACCCCGCGCAC
rnacentral:lncRNA from 1 species